rnacentral:rRNA from 1 species
UACGUAGGGUGCGAGCGUUGUCCGGAAUUACUGGGCGUAAAGCGUGCGUAGGCGGUUUGUUAAGUCCGUUGUGAAAGCCCUGGGCUCAACCUGGGAAUUGCAGUGGAUACUGGCGAGCUGGAGUGCGGUAGAGGAUGGUGGAAUUCCCGGUGUAGCGGUGAAAUGCGUAGAGAUCGGGAGGAACACCCGUGGCGAAGGCGGCCAUCUGGACCAGCACUGACGCUGAGGCACGAAAGCGUGGGGAGCAAACAGG